rnacentral:rRNA from 1 species
GAUGAACGCUGGCGGCGUGCCUAAUACAUGCAAGUCGAGCGAACGGACGAGAAGCUUGCUUCUCUGAUGUUAGCGGCGGACGGGUGAGUAACACGUGGAUAACCUACCUAUAAGACUGGGAUAACUUCGGGAAACCGUAGCUAAUACCGGAUAAUAUUUUGAACCGCAUGGUUCAAAAGUGAAAGACGGUCUUGCUGUCACUUAUAGAUGGAUCCGCGCUGCAUUAGCUAGUUGGUAAGGUAACGGCUUACCAAGGCAACGAUGCAUAGCCGACCUGAGAGGGUGAUCGGCCACACUGGAACGGAGACACGGUCCAGACUCCUACGGGAGGCAGCAGUAGGGAAUCUUCCGCAAGGGGCGAAAGCCGGACGGAGCAACGCCGCGUGAGUGAUGAAGGUCUUCGGAUCGUAAAACUCUGUUAUUAGGGAAGAACAUAUGUGUAAGUAACUGUGCACAUCUUGACGGUACCUAAUCAGAAAGCCACGGCUAACUACG